UAUUUAUUGUUGUUGUUUUUUUGGCGUGUACCUGUGUUUUCUGAAUGGAUGCUGGGAAACCCAUCAGUUGAUUUUUGCAUAUGUCUUGCCUGUCAGUGGACUACCGUCCACUUUGGGGAUGGGAAAAUCAGUACAUCACAAAAACCAUGCCGAAAUAGUGAAAGGCACAAUCACCAUACUGUAGACAUCAGAUACACCAAAUGUUAUAUGUCUUUAUAAUUCAUUUUUAUGAGGGGAUGGGUAUACUAAUUUAGAUGUAACAUGGGCGCAACCCCAAGUGUUCUUAAGCUGCCAUCGUUUUAGGUUACAACAUAAAACAUAUGGAACUCCCACUGGGAACUCCCCAGACAUUCAAUGCCUCACAUUUAAAAUGUCCUAUUGGUGAACCACUGUUAUAAUAACUAUAUGGGAAAAUACAAGCAUAUUCUAUUGUAUUUUUUAUCAUACAUUUAAUAAUGUUUUUAAUAUAUAAACUAUCUCCUGCCUCACCCUUUACUUGUCCGUAAUCCACAUAGGAUCAAUACACCAGGUGACCAUUCCCUCUCCCCAUUGUUGACUUUCACCCUUAAACCACACCUUUCAAUAACCACACACAAUAUACUGAGAACACGUUUCCUGUUUUACAUGAUGCAGGUGAGAAAGGAAGACAUCAAAUUAAAGCAAACAGGACAGGUUUGUAGUGGUACAGGGGUAGCUGUGAUG